rnacentral:ncRNA from 2 species
GGCUAAAUAGCCCUGUCUGGUCCUGCCCGGAUUAUCCGGGUGCUAAGAGGGAAUUUGGUGCGACCUGCCUAACAGGUCAAUUCCAGAGCCGCCCCCGCGACUGUAAGCGGUGAGCUUCUGUUCAACCAGCCACUCCUGACCAUCAGGGGGAAGGCGAACAGAGGCAUCGACCCGCAAGCCAGGAGACCUGCCAGGCACAAUUGAAACAC